rnacentral:rRNA from 1 species
UACGUAGGGUGCAAGCGUUGUCCGGAAUUAUUGGGCGUAAAGAGCUCGUAGGCGGUGUGUCGCGUCGGCCGUGAAAACCUGGGGCUCAACUCUGGGCGUGCGGUCGAUACGGGCAGGCUGGAGUUCGGUAGGGGAGACUGGAAUUCCUGGUGUAGCGGUGAAAUGCGCAGAUAUCAGGAGGAACACCGGUGGCGAAGGCGGGUCUCUGGGCCGAUACUGACGCUGAGGAGCGAAAGCGUGGGGAGCGAACAGG